rnacentral:RNase_P_RNA from 1 species
UGAGUAAGCCAGACGGUCGCGCGAUAUACAUGUUAUAUCGUGAGGAAAGUCCGGGCUCCAUAGGGCAGGGUGCCAGAUAACGUCUGGCGAGGGUGACCUUAGGGAAAGUGCAACAGAAACAUACCGCCGAUGGAAAUCUCUUUGAGAUUUCACAGGUAAGGUUGAAAUAGUGAGGUAAGAGCUCACUACGUUGUAAGGUAACUUACAGUGUGUGUAAACCCCACCUGGUGCAAGGUCGAAUUGAGCAAAUGGUGUGAUAGCCCGUCGCCGCUCAGUAGGUGGACCGCAAGAGGACGUCAGCGAUGGCGUUCCCAGAUAGAUGAUCGUCAGAUACAAAACCCGGCUUACGGCUUGCUCAUUAU